rnacentral:rRNA from 1 species
GUGGGGAAUAUUGGACAAUGGGCGCAAGCCUGAUCCAGCCAUGCCGCGUGAGUGAUGAAGGCCUUAGGGUUGUAAAGCUCUUUCAGUGGGGACGAUAAUGAAGGUACCCACAGAAGAAGCCCCGGCUAACUUCGUGCCAGCAGCCGCGGUAAUACGCAGGGGGCUAGCGUUGUUCGGAUUUACUGGGCGUAAAGCGCACGUAGGCGGAUCGUUAAGUCGGGGGUGAAAUCCUGGAGCUCAACUCCAGAACUGCCUUCGAUACUGGCGAUCUUGAGUCCGGAAGAGGUGAGAGGAACUCCUAGUGUAGAGGUGGAAUUCGUACAUAUUAGGAAGAACACCAGUGGCGAAGGCGGCUCACUGGUCCGGUAAUGACGCUGAGGUGCGAAAGCGUGGGGAGCAAACAGGAUUAGAAACCCUUGUAGUCC